GAUGAAUGAAGAUGACCUUUGCUUUUUAGUAAACAAAAGAAGCUCAUAAUAUUAAAUUUGCAAUUUUCCUCACAAGGACAAGAAGUCAAAACCUAGAAAACGUUGGAUAUGUAGGUAGAACAUGUAUGAUAAGAGUAGUAGUGUAUUAAAAGUGAUAGAUGCUCUCACAGAUCCGGAUCAUCCACUCCAUCAUCAGCAAC
rnacentral:lncRNA from 1 species